rnacentral:rRNA from 1 species
AGGACGAACGCUGGCGGCGUGCUUAACACAUGCAAGUCGAGCGAGGCCCUUCCUUCGGGAAGGUGCCCUAGCGGCGAACGGGUGAGUAACACGUGGGCAACCUGCCCCUAGCACUGGGAUAACUCCGGGAAACCGGGGCUAAUACCGGAUAUGACCUUUGAGGGCAUCCUCUUUGGUGUAAAGGAUUCUGGCUAGGGAUGGGCCCGCGGCCUAUCAGCUUGUUGGUGGGGUAAUGGCCUACCAAGGCGACGACGGGUAGCCGGCCUGAGAGGGCGACCGGCCACACUGGGACUGAGACACGGCCCAGACUCCUACGGGAGGCAGCAGUGGGGAAUAUUGCACAAUGGGCGAAAGCCUGAUGCAGCGACGCCGCGUGAGGGAUGACGGCCUUCGGUUGUAACCUCUUUCAGCUCCGACGAAGCGAAAGUGACGGUAGGAGCAGAAGAAGCACCGGCCAACUACGCGCCAGCAGCCGC